rnacentral:rRNA from 1 species
GGAUAAACCGCGAUAGGCCAAGAUUUCUGGAAUGGAUCAUGGCUGAAAUCUAUAUGGCCCUUGGAUUGGACUGCGGCCGAUCAGGCUGUUGGUGAGGUAAUGGCCCACCAAACCUAUAACCGGUACGGGCUUUGAGAGAAGGAGCCCGGAGAUGGGCACUGAGACAAGGGCCCAGGCCCUAUGGGGCGCACCAGGCGCGAAAACUCUGCAAUAGGCCAAAGCUUGACAGGGUUACUCUGAGUGAUGUCCGUUAAGGGCAUCUUUUGGUACCUCUAAAAAUGGUGCAGAAUAAGGGGUGGGCAAGUCUGGUGUCCGCCGCCGCGGUAAUACCCGCACCCCGAGUGGUCGGGACGAUUAUUGGGCCUAAAGCAUCCGUAGCUUGUCCUGCAAGUCUUCCGUUAAAUCCACCUGCUCAACAGAUGGGCUGCGGAGGAUACUACAGGGCUAGGAGGCGGGAGAGGCAAGCGGUACUCAGUGGGUAGGGGCAAAAUCCUCUGAUCCACUGAAGACCACCCGUGGCGAAAGCGGCUUGCCCGAACGCGCUCCACGGUGAGGGAUAAAAGCUGGGGGAGCAAACCGGAUUAGAUACCCGGGUAGUCCCAGCUGUAAACGAUGCAGACUCCGUGAUUGGGUUGGCUUCCAGCCAACCCAGUGCCGCAGGGGAACCGCUUUAGUCUGCCCCCCGGGGGAUAAGGGUGCCAAAACUGGUACCUUAAAGGGAUUGGCGGGGGAACCCC